GUAGACCAGUCAAGCGCUGCAGCUUGGGCGUCUCUCCUCAUAAGAUUUAGUCAUGGGGCUUCUGGUACUCUGCGUCACCGCCCUUUUGUUCGGGGCGAUUCAGGGGGAGGGGUCGGACUCUCUGCAGCCGAAAAGCUUGCUCGAGUUGCUGAAGAAGGACGCCAGGGAUUUGGCCGAACUGGUCAAAUAUCACGACACUAAGUUGGACGCCGACGAACAAAAUGGCGAACAGCCUGAGGGAGUUGUGGAGAACAAGCGAG